rnacentral:lncRNA from 1 species
GGGGGGGUCUCCCCCCCCAGCACGAGUGAGGGUUGAGCUGGCCUCUCCCACAGUGAUGCCGAACCUGUCCUGGGAUGAGGAGGAGGAGGCGGCAGAGGAGGAAGAGUCUGCAGAGGAGUCCCCCGAGAAGCCCCCCAAGGCCCAGGCUGCCAAGAAGGGCAGCGUCGCCAAGAAGAGGAGGCUGGAGAAGGACGAAGAGCUGAACAGCGUCUCCUCCGAGGAUCCCCUUCCCAGCAAGGGGCGAGGAGCAGGCAGGGGGAAGAAGCCAGCAGCAAAGAAGUAGUGUGAGCUACAGCAGGGCCUGGCCAG